UACGUAGGUCCCGAGCGUUGUCUGGAUUUAUUGGGCGUAAAGCGAGCGCAGGUGGUUUAUUAAGUCUGGUGUAAAAGGCAGUGGCUCAACCAUUGUAUGCAUUGGAAACUGGUAGACUUGAGUGCAGGAGAGGAGAGUGGAAUUCCAUGUGUAGCGGUGAAAUGCGUAGAUAUAUGGAGGAACACCGGUGGCGAAAGCGGCUCCCUGGCCUGUAACUGACACUGAGGCUCGAAAGCGUGGGGAGCAAACUGG
rnacentral:rRNA from 1 species